CAUGCAAGUCGAGCGGGGGAAGGUAGCUUGCUACUGGACCUAGCGGCGGACGGGUGAGUAAUACUUAGGAAUCUGCCUAUUAGUGGGGGACAACGUUCCGAAAGGAGCGCUAAUACCGCAUACGCCCUACGGGGGAAAGCAGGGGAUCUUUGGACCUUGCGCUAAUAGAUGAGCCUAAGUCGGAUUAGCUAGUUGGUGGGGUAAAGGCCUACCAAGGCGACGAUCU
rnacentral:rRNA from 1 species